rnacentral:rRNA from 1 species
UACGAAGGGAGCAAGCGUUACUCGGAUUUACUGGGCGUAAAGGGUGCGUAGGCGGCCUGAUUAGUCAGAUGUGAAAGCCCAAGGCUUAACCUUGGAACUGCAUUUGAUACUGUCAGGCUUGAGUAUAAGAGAGGUAAGUGGAAUUCCCAGUGUAGCAGUGAAAUGCGUAGAUAUUGGGAGGAACAUCAGUGGCGAAGGCGACUUACUGGCUUAUAACUGACGCUGAGGCACGAAAGCGUGGGGAGCAAACAGG